GACGAACGCUGGCGGCGUGCCUAAUACAUGCAAGUCGAGCGAAGUUUUUCUGGUGCUUGCACCGGAAAAACUUAGCGGCGAACGGGUGAGUAACACGUAAAGAACCUGCCUCAUAGACUGGGACAACUAUUGGAAACGAUAGCUAAUACCGGAUAAUAGCAUUAACUGCAUGGUUGAUGUUUAAUAGUUGGUUUCGCUAACACUAUGAGAUGGCUUUGCGGUGCAUUAGCUAGUUGGUGGGGUAAAGGCCUACCAAGGCGACGAUGCAUAGCCGACCUGAGAGGGUGAUCGGCCACACUGGGAGUGAGACACGGCCCAGACUCCUACGGGAGGCAGCAGUAGGGAAUCUUCCGCAAUGGGCGAAAGCCUGACGGAGCAACGCCGCGUGAGUGAAGAAGGAUUUCGGUUCGUAAAGAUCUGUUGUGAGGGAAGAAUGAUUGUGUAGUAACUAUACACAGUAGAGACGGUACCUAACCAGAAAGCCACGGCUAACUACGUG
rnacentral:rRNA from 1 species